rnacentral:rRNA from 1 species
UGGGGAAUUUUGGACGAAUUGGGCGAAAGCCUGAUCCAGCAAUGCCGCGUGUGUGAAGAAGGCCUUCGGGUUGUAAAGCACUUUUGUCCGGAAAGAAAUCCUUGGCUCUAAUACAGUCGGGGGAUGACGGUACCGGAAGAAUAAGCACCGGCUAACUACGUGCCAGCAGCCGCGGUAAUACGUAGGGUGCAAGCGUUAAUCGGAAUUACUGGGCGUAAAGCGUGCGCAGGCGGUUUGCUAAGACCGAUGUGAAAUCCCCGGGCUCAACCUGGGAACUGCAUUGGUGACUGGCAGGCUAGAGUAUGGCAGAGGGGGGUUAGAAUUCCACGUGUAGCAGUGAAAUGCGUAGAGAUGUGGAGGAAUACCGAUGGCGAAGGCAGCCCCCUGGGCCAAGUACUGACGCUCAUGCACG